AAAAGGAUAGAAGCAGGAAUGGGUCAUUAUCCUCAGUGACCCACUGAAGAACUUAACAUUUACCUUUCCUACUACACUGGGCUCUGCAGGGUUAGACAUCCUGGUUUCCAAAGGAGUUCUUCUGCCUGCAGCACCAGGACUAAGAGAAUGCCUGCCUGGUUCCGGAUGGAGCAGCGCAAUGUAUGGCCAUUGCUGUAAAUGCACUGCUGCCAUACUAGAGCCCGAUCAAUCAGAAGCAGACCUAAAGGUCUUCUCUGAUGUCCAAGCAUGGGACACCCAGGGUGACCCAGUCAGCAUUCACACGGGCAAAGUCCAUAAGCGUAAAAGAGUUAAUGCCUGCAGGACCCCCCUUGACGAUAGGAGUUGGGAACGGAUGGAUGAAGCUUCGUCCUUUCAUUCUCUUGGCAGACAGUUCUACAACAUGUUUUCUAUGGCUCUUCAGAAUGUGCUAUGGGAUUGAGCACCAGUCAUGGUGGGCAACGUGAUAAAGCAUCCUUGUGUUAUCUCUUUUUCUAUUCAGUCCCACUGUCCUUCACCCUCAACUUGCUGAGAUCACUUUGCAAAUAAACUAUAUGGA
rnacentral:lncRNA from 1 species